rnacentral:rRNA from 1 species
AUGGAGAAGUGUUGGAGUCGUUUAUGCCCUCCAGAGGCCUCAGGCAAGGGGAUCCGCUUAGCCCUUAUUUAUUCCUCUUUGUUGCAGAUGGUCUUGCUACAAUAUUCAAUAGAGAGGUCCAGGGUGGGAAUAUUUCACCUGUUAAGGUGGCCCGGAGUAGCCCGGGGAUCUCGAAUCUACUGUUUGCGGAUGACAGUUUGGUGUUUUUUAAGGCCUCAUGCGACCAAGCCAGGGCAGUCAAGAAAGCUCUCACUCUGUUCCAAAAAUGCACGGGUCAACUAUUGA